UACAGAGGGGGCAAGCGUUAUUCGGAAUUAUUGGGCGUAAAGGGCGCGUAGGCGGCUUUGCAAGUGACGGGUGAAAUCCCUCGGCUUAACCGGGGAACUGCCUGUCAAACUGCAUGGCUUGAGACCGGGAGAGGUGAGUGGAAUUCCCAGUGUAGCGGUGAAAUGCGUAGAUAUUGGGAGGAACACCAGUGGCGAAGGCGGCUCACUGGACCGGUACUGACGCUGAUGCGCGAAAGCGUGGGGAGCAAACAGG
rnacentral:rRNA from 1 species